rnacentral:rRNA from 1 species
UCGCGAAUCAUUCACAAUGGACGCAAGUCUGAUGAUGCCACGCCGCGUGCGGGAUGAAGGCCCUUUGGGUUGUAAACCGCUGUCAAGGGAGGGGAAACACCUAGUGUUAACAGCGCUAGGCUUGACUGCUCCCUAAAGGAAGCCCCGGCAAAACAUGUGCCAGCAGCCGCGGUAAUACAUGUGGGGCAAGCGUUGUUCGGAAUUACUGGGCAUAAAGGGUGCGUAGGCGGUUUGUUAAGUCACUGGUGAAAGUUUGCGGCCCAACCGUAAAAUUGCCUGCGAUACUGGCGAACUUGAGUGCGUGAGGGGUAGGGGGAACGAGCAGUGUAGCGGUGAAAUGCGUAGAUAUCAAGAGGAACACCUGAGGUGAAGACGGGUUGCUGGGCUGACACUGACGCUGAGGCGCGAAAGCCAGGGGAGCAAACGGGAUUAGAUACCCUUGUAGUCCCUGAGCGGGCUGGCAAGGCGCAU